CCAUCAUCCAUGGAAAGUCAAGAUUAGCCUCCUGCAUGGAUUUGUGAGAAGUAGAGCCUCUCCUCCAAGCCAGAGAAGCCAUUGUGUACCAGCUCGCCCUAUUAGCAUACCAUGUGCCCAGGAGUAAACAGGGACACAGGAGAGAACAAAGCUGACACCAGGAGACACAGCUGACACUGGGGAGAAGUGGUGAAGACAGCAUCCUGGAAGAGGUGAGAUUACUGUCUCUGAAGUUACUACAACUCUUCCAUUAAUUUUGUGAGCUUCCAUCAAUUCCUACAUGAACAUUUAUUAAAAUAUUUCCAAUGCAGACUAUGGAGAGAUAGAGAAGAGAUAAGAAAGAGAAAGAGCAAUUCUGCAAGACAAUUAUUGGCAUCAUUAUCAAAGAUGAAGAAAUUGCAGUUUGAGGAGAGUGAGAGAUAAAGCCAAACAACUGAUACAUAGAAAUCAAAGGAUUAGUGCAAUAUCUGUCAUAUGCCAAAGCCUGUAAGCCUCCUACAGUGCCCCCUGCCUUUUCUGAGCCUCAGCUUUCUUAUCUGUAAAAUGGCAUCGAUAAUACUUCUUUCCUAAUGUUAAUUGAACAAAAGAAGGUAGGUGAGUGUGUGCAGUUGUGUGUGUAUAUUUACCUGUGUGUGUGUGUGGUACAUGUCUCUCUAAUUCUUUCCCUGUAUUCCUACCAUUAUUAAGUGAUAUAAACUUAGCAUUCAAGAUGGAUGGGUGUUUUCAUCCUCGAAAAUUUUUUCUUUCAUUUUCCUAAUAUCACUUAUGUGCACAGUGAAAUCUGCAUCCAAAUUUGAAUUCACUUUUCACUCUGCAUGCUAACUUUGCACUAUUAUUCAAGGUUUACUUGCCUAGAAAAUUAAGGAAAAUCUAUUUUCCCAUAGCUCAUACUAACUGAAGCCUCUUCUCAGAAAUCUCCCUGGAAGUUUGGGGUUCCUCUAUGUGUGACUUGGAGACAUCAUAACCACUACUGCACUGAUGACACCUCUACCACUUUCACCGCCACCAACAGCAACUCCUUGACCAAUACCUUCCUCCUUCACUACUGCCUCCACCAGAACCUCUUCCAUCUCCAACACCUCCACCAUCACCACCAUGAUAAUCACUGUGAUUGUAAAAACAUCAGGACCUAUAGUAAGCAAGAUAUUUGACACUUAUGAUUCCUACUCCACACUAGAAUCCUAUCAAGGAGACAUUUUAUUUUGGCUUGCCUAUAGGGAAACAAAGUCUCAGAAAAGUUGAAUAAUCUCUCUAAAGUCUCACAACUUCUAAGUAGUAGAGCAAGAAUUUGACACCAAGCCCAUCUGGACCCAAAUACUGUGAUGUUUUCACUUUAGUAAUCUUUUCCUUUGCCCACACAAUCCUUUCUGUUCUGAAAGGUCAAGCAUCAUUUUCCUCUCUAGAAUAUAGGAGAAUUCCUCUUUCAGCCUUUGUCUACUGCAGAUAUUGUGAAGUAAUCUCGUCUGGGAGUGACUAUCUUAAUUACUGAAAUAACAGGAAGUUAGUGCCACUACAGAUGCUGGGAAGGAAAAGGUUGUAGGGGAGUUGGUAAAUGUGGAAGAGUCACAUGUCAGAUUAAAACAGGUCACAAUGAUGAGUUCUGACUGCUCUGAAAGGCAACAAUGUCCGUCCAGCUAAGGUGGGGGAGAAAUAGGGACCUGGCAAUGCCACCAUCCUUCUGUCAGGAUAGGGGUAUAGGGUUGCUGUCACAUUGGAAGUGAGGGCAGCCUGAAGGUUGGGGUUAGCAUUCAACAAGAGGAUUGAAAGGACACUUUAAAAUCUAGAUAGCAUAUCUAAAGGAUGCCUGAGGAGAAUUCCAGACUUUUACAGAGGGAUAGGGAGAUUGAAUAUGUUUUGCUUUUGAAAGCUUUAUAUUUGCAACUUUAUAGUUCUUUCUGCCAUAUAUUUGAGGUGAAAUGGGUAUUAAAUUGC